UAUGGUGAUUAUGAUAACAUAAGGGAAAAAAAUGAUAUUACCUUAUUAUUAGUGUUGUCCAAAACUGGUGCCAGAAGACUCGGUAAGGCCAGAGACGCAAACGUUAGUCAUCUUAAUCAGGCGUAAAGGGUGUGUAGGCUGCUUUAACUGUUUAUUUUUGUUUUAGCUAUUUAACCGUAAUAUUCCCUAAUUUAUAUAGAGAUAUACUAUAUAAGUUUUUAAUCAAGGAAUAAAUGAUAUAUAAAAACAAAAAAAAAUAUAUUCGUGUUUCAGAUAAUGAAAAUAAAUGAAUUAAAGCUAGGAUCAAAUUGAGGAUAAGCCAAAUAAUACUUAGAGUAGGGGUUAAAUCCAUAGAUACUAAGGGGAAUACUAACGGUGAAGACUUUUUAUCUACUAUUGAUUGACGCUGAGAAACGAAGGUGAGAAUAGGAAAUAGGAUUAGAUACCCAGAUACCUCUCACUGUCAACGAUGAAUGGUGGUUAGUUAGUUUUAGUAAAAACUGGUAACGAUGUUAACGCGAUAACCAUUCCGCCUUGCGAGUACGGUUGCAAAACUGAAACCAAAAAAAUUAGUCGGUCUCGAAGCAAACGAAGUGAAGCAUGUU
rnacentral:rRNA from 1 species